GACGAACCGUCCAAACGUUAUUCGGAAUCACUGGGCUUACAGAGUUCGUAGGCGGUCUGGAAAGUUGGGUGUGAAAUCCCUCGGCUCAACCGAGGAACUGCGCUCAAAAACUACCCGACUCGAGGGAGAUAGAGGAAAGCGGAACUGAUGGUGGAGCGGUGAAAUGCGUUGAUAUCAUCAGGAACACCGGUGGCGAAGGCGGCUUUCUGGGACGGUACUGACGCUGAGACGCGAAAGCGUGGGGAGCAAACAGG
rnacentral:rRNA from 1 species